rnacentral:rRNA from 1 species
CAGCAGCCGCGGGAAAACGUAGGGGGCUAGCGUUGCUCGGAAUUACUGGGCGUAAAGCGCACGUAGGCGGACUCUUAAGUCAGGGGUGAAAUCCCGGAGCUCAACUCCAGAACUGCCUUUGAUACUGAGAGCCUUGAGUUCGGGAGAGGUGAGUGGAACUGCGAGUGUAGAGGUGAAAUUCGUAGAUAUUCGCAAGAACACCAGUGGCGAAGGCGGCUCACUGGCUUGUAACUGACGCUGAGGCUCGAAAGCGUGGGGAGCAAACAGGAUUAGAUACCCCCGUAGUCCCUGUCUCUUAUAC